AUUGAACGCUGGCGGCAGGCUUAACACAUGCAAGUCGAACGAGUGGCGGACGGGUGAGUAAUGCUUGGGAAUCUGGCUUAUGGAGGGGGAUAACUACUGGAAACGGUAGCUAAUACCGCAUACCAUCAGAUGUGCCCAGAUGGGAUUAGCUAGUAGGUGGGGUAACGGCUCACCUAGGCGACGAUCCCUAGCUGGUCUGAGAGGAUGACCAGCCACACUGGAACUGAGACACGGUCCAGACUCCUACGGGAGGCAGCAGUGGGGAAUAUUGCACAAUGGGCGCAAGCCUGAUGCAGCCAUGCCGCGUGUAUGAAGAAGGCCUUCGGGUUGUAAAGUACUUUCAGCGGGGAGGCGUUACCCGCAGAAGAAGCACCGGCUAACUCCGUGCCAGCAGCCGCGGUAAUAC
rnacentral:rRNA from 1 species